CUGGCAGCAACCUGUCCUUUGACUACGCGUCUGGCUGUACCUGCAUACACGACCCGUCAGAUAUUCACACUAUUCCUCUGAAGAUGCUCUGCCAGAACAUGAAGCGGCAGAUAGUCUCCAGAGCCUUCUAUGGAUGGCUGGCAUACUGUCGACACCUGUCCACAGUGCGGACUCACCUGUCAGCUCUGGUCAACCACAACAUCGUCCCCC